rnacentral:lncRNA from 1 species
GAAAAUCCGGCUUGCAUCGCUCAUUCACGCUUCCCACACGUCCUCUCACACACUUUUCUCACUCAGUACACUCCACCUCACCUACCACACGCUACCUCCCUUCCGUUAAAAACCCACUUAUCACUCUCUGAAAUCCUCACAAAAAUCUCUCAGACUCUCUCUCCCUACUACACACUAAAGAAAAGAAAGCGAAAGGAGAAACGCUUCCUCUUCCUCGGAAACGCUUCCUCCGUCCGACCUCUCCUCACAAUCUUAUCAAACCCCGCCGGCAAACAACCUUCGCCUCUCUCUCCGUCCAUCUUACGCUCACAAAUCCACCACCAUAACAACACCACCACACGACCCAUUCAACAACCCAAACAACCAAACCACCCGCGUCGCCGGCAAAGAACCCUUUCUUCACUCUACACAUCACACCGGUAAACUCAACUCCCACCGUCAAAUCCUCCAUCGCGCCACCGUCAGCAACCGCGACCCACCAAAUUGACCCUCUACAACUCCUUCGAUGGCAAGCACGCGAGAAAUACCCCCUUCAACCUCAUCGUACCGCCGCUCAAUCCUUCACCCAAACCCCCACGCGAUUCGCGACAACACCGCCGCUUUGGGUUCAAACCACCGCACAGCACACCGUGUUGGAGUUCCAUCUCUCAGCAAAGUAGAUUUCAACAAGUUUCUUCCAACAAACUCAGAGCAGCAAAUAGAACACGACAAUUUUAGUAAUAUUUCGAUUGAGGUGUCAGAUUUAAGUUUAUGUUUUUUCUGAUGAGUUUACAUUCAUUUCAGAUAGUGAUACACUUUGAAUUGUUGCGUUUACCUUCUUUACGUUUACAGUCUUCGUAUUUGAAAAUUAAUUGAAAUAUGGUGUCUCAUGUAUGUUUUGAUAGAAUUUCCAGCUUGGUUUGUUGUUUUGUUAAAAUUGACGAUAUGAAUGAUUUAGUCUUGUGGACUGAGAACUUGUAGAGAAUGAACAAAGUCAAUCUGUCUUGAUUUUAGCCUGUGUUUUCUUUCUUAUGAAUGCUGUGUUAAAGUAUGUUUAUAAAUUACAUUUAGAAGUUUGUUUAGCCAUUAUAAUGGUAUUAUAUUGACUGUCGGAUGUACAUGGUCUUGUGGGAGGCCUUUUGUUGAGUUAGAGUUUAUUUCCUAUUUAGAUUAGUGUGUUGUAAAUAGAAAUAAAAUUGGGUGUAUCAGUUGGAUAUUUCGUUUUCCUUAUUUUGUACAAGUUGAAAUCUAUUUUUUUCCACUGUAUUUAAUUUGGACUACAUUUGUGGUGAUUUAGUACUUGUCUAGUUUUAUAGAUUAUACAUUUGAAUUGAUUUCUUAUUCUUUAGUUAAUA